UACGGGGGGGGUAAGCGUUGUUCGGAAUUACUGGGCGUAAAGGGCUCGUAGGCGGCCAACUAAGUCAGACGUGAAAUCCCUCGGCUUAACCGGGGAACUGCGUCUGAUACUGGAUGGCUUGAGUUUGGGAGAGGGAUGCGGAAUUCCAGGUGUAGCGGUGAAAUGCGUAGAUAUCUGGAGGAACACCGGUGGCGAAGGCGGCAUCCUGGACCAACACUGACGCUGAGUGAGCGAAAGCCAGGGGAGCAAACAGG
rnacentral:rRNA from 1 species